rnacentral:ncRNA from 1 species
GCCCUGUAAUUGGAAUGAGUACACUUUAAAAGCUUUAACGAGUAUCCAUUGGAGGGCAAGUCUGGUGCCAGCAGCCGCGGUAAUUCCAGCUCCAAAAGUAUAUAUUUAAGUUGUUGCGGUUAAAAAGCUCGUAGUUGGAUUUUGGGCGCAGGCGGCCGGUCCGUCGCAAGGCGUGUACUGGACGUCCUGGCCUUCCCUCCGGUUCUCCGCCGGUGCUCUUGACUGAGUGUCGGCGGCGGCCGGAACGUUUACUUUGAAAAAAUUAGAGUGUUCAAAGCAGGCUCUCGAGCCUGGAUAAUGGUGCAUGGAAUAAUGGAAUAGGACCUCGGUUCUAUUUUGUUGGUUUUCGGAGCGCGAGGUAAUGAUUAAGAGGGACAGACGGGGGCAUUCGUACUGUGCCGUUAGAGGUGAAAUUCUUGGAUCGGCGCAAGACGAACGACUGCGAAAGCAUUUGCCAAGAAUGUUUUCUUUAAUCAAGAGCGAAAGUCAGAGGUUCGAAGACGAUCAGAUACCGUCCUAGUUCUGACUAUAAACGAUGCCAACUAGCGAUCGGGGGGCGUUACAUUGACGACCCCUCCGGCAGCUUACGGGAAACCAAAGUCUUUGGGUUCCGGGGGAAGUAUGGUUGCAAAGCUGAAACUUAAAGGAAUUGACGUAGGGCACCACCAGAGUGGAGCCUGCUGCUUAAUUUGACUC